AACUGAAAGCAAAAGUGGUUAUCAACUCGCAAAGCAUUCAUAUUUGCCAUGUAAAGCUAAAAUAUGAGGCUACAGAAGAUAAUAAAUUAAGAGCCAUUUGGGAGCCAAAAGAACCAGCUCUCUGAAAAGAGCCGAACUUCCCAUCACUACAGACUUGAACACACUGACUAAACCUCAGUGUUUAAAUGUUUCUACGGUGAAGAUUCAGAGCUCAAAUGUGCAGCUGCCACAAAAAUAAAGUGCAGAAAAUAUAUAUAUGUGACCUGUAGGCGGCACUAUUUAAAUAGGUCAUAAGCCUUAGACAUGCAGUCAGUUCACCAGCUUUAAUGCUAAUACAAAACAAUAUUACACACACACACACACACACACACACACACACACACACACACACACACACACACACACACAGAGAGUAUCAGCAUAAGGUGGAAGAAACCAAUAGAAGUUUCCCCACAGGCAUGUAACAAUGUUUUCCCAAAAAGGCUGAAAAUAACUUUAAACAUCUCUCCACUGAAACUCAAUCUGAACAUUUUUGGUGACCUUCCUCUCCAACACAAGGCUAUGCAACCCACAUCAAGCGGGCAGUAUUUCUCUUUAAGGCCGGGUCCUCCACCACAGGCCUGGGAGCUUGAGCGUCCUGAGUGGUAUCUUAAGUGUUCUUAGAACUGCGCUCUCGUGGACAGAGAUCUCCGAUGUUGCUCCUGGGAUCCUCUGGAAUCACUCACUCUGCAGUAUAGGAGUUACUCCUCUGAGCACACCGAUCACCACUGGGACCUUCACCCUCCACAUCUUAUAAAGCUCUUCUCUGGGCCCGUGGUAUGUCUCGAGCUUCUUGCGUUCCCCUCACUCAUACAUCUACCACUACGACUGUCUUCCUCUGUUUGUCAACCACCACUAUGUCCAGGUGGUUAGCCAUCACCAGUUUGUCUGUCUUUAUCUGGAAAUCCCCCAGGAUUCUCAACCACGGGGUAUGUCCCAAUUUGACCUCGGGAUUUUCAGGCCAUACUUAGGACAGAUGUUUGUUUAUGUGGGAGUUGUGCCAAGUUAAGUUUCCCCGACAGAAUAUGUUUCCCUUGUGUCGCAAGCACGCACUGGGCUUUCCAAAUCACGGACAAAGUAUCCCAUAAUCUUAAUUAUUAGUUUACAAAUACUUCUUAUAAUGAAUAACUGCUCCUGAAAUUUUGGAGAUGUUAAUUCUUUAUACAGUAAAGUUACAGUGGGAUACAAAUAAUUUCAGACAAAAUGUCCUAGGUUCAUUGAAAUAAUCCCAUCCAAUAACACGUUAGAAUAAUAAAUAAAUCAUUUGCUAUUGUAACCCGUAAACUGAACGGUAAUGGAACAAUACUUUCACUAAUGUGAAACAUCACUACUUCCGUGUCUAGUUGUUGGAAAGGAGGUGGAGUCAACUGGGUCCGAUCUUAUUGGCCAGAUCCUGCUCCUGACUCAGGGGAAACAGAUUCUGUCGGGGAUGCUUACCUUGGCAUGACACCGGCCACUUGGUUAUGGUGUUCCACGUAUGCCAUGCCUGCUAGCAUCUUACACCCUGCUGUUUAUGUUCUCCGAUCACACUCCCGUCCAGUAGGCAGUGUUCUGAAGGCAGGACUGUGGUGCAGUUUUCUGCCUCGCCACUAGAGGGCGCGGCCGUUUUGUGAGUAAUGUUUUGACUGGGAUGGAAAAUGGUGUUCAUGAAGGCAGUGUGAAUCACAAGUUAUGCUCGGGAGCAGUUUAUGUGGGUUCAAUGAGAGUGUGCGUCCAUAAGACUGAACCACACACAUACCCACACCCACGCUAAAUCUGCCAUUAAAGAGCUGAACGAUCAUCCCCUGACCUCAUUAUUUUCUGGAGGGUCAUAGUGGCUCUUGACCUGUGCACACCCUGCGAUCUCCACCGUAGAACUGAACCUCAUAUCAGAAAUCAUCAUAACAGGCAGCAAUGUACAAGACAAAGACAACGUAGAUGACGAAGAGAAAAAGAAGGUCAAUAUGCAUCACAACAGCUAUUGCGGAAGUGUUUUUAUCAAACUUGAUUUCCCGUUACCUGUGAUGGCUGCUGAAAUAUAUCUACCAUUUUACUGGACUUUGCUGGUUCUAAUUGUGCAGGUUAGAUUUAGUUGUUAUAAAGUCAAACAUGUUUUAAAUGUGCUACUUUUCAUCCUGUUUGUAACAGAGGAAAGUAUCGGUUGGUUUAAGACUGACUCAGUUACUGGCAUCCCCGGCGGCAUCUUCAGAUCCCACAACUUACAGCAGCUUUUUCAAUAAUGGGUUAAAGAGCGAUGUUAAACGUAACUGGUAAUAAUAACCCCAAAACUUGUGUGAUGACAGCAUGAGCCUUGAGAUUCCUUGAGUUUCUUGGCCCAAACAAAUCUCUUUUCUGCUUGUUGCUUUUCCUUAGUCGUAGUUUCUUAGCAGCUAUUUGAACAUAAAGGCCUGAUUCACCAGUCUUCUCUGAAGAAGUGACGUAGAAAUGUGUCUGCUACUGGAGCUCUAUGUGACAUUUAUCUUUGCUCUGAUCUGAGGUGCUGUUAACUUGUGAUUUUUGAGGCUGGUGGCUCAGAUGAAUUUAUCCUCAGCAGCAGAGGUGACUCUUGGUCUUCUUUCCUGGUGCCGUCCUCAUGUGAGCCAGUUUCAUCGUAGCACUUGAUGUUUUUUGUAACUGCACUUGGGGAAACAUUCAAACUUUUAGCAAUUUUCCAGACUGACUGACCUUCAGUUCUUAAACUAAUGAUGGAGGUGACUACAGGUGACUACAUCAUUAAGCUCGCUGACUGAGAGAAGGCCAAUGGUUUAUGGUGCUGUCAGUAAAGCAAAAUAAUGAUAAUAAUAAUAAACUUUAUUUAUAAAGCACACUAAAAAACCAAGGGUAUACCAAGGUGCUUGACAAAAAUAAAAUAGGAAAAGGGAGAUGGGAAGGAAAAGAGAAAGGACCUGGCACGUAUCAAUUAUAAAAACCUUGGCAAUCAUAAGAUAUAAAAGUAGUUCACAAGCAUAAAAAAUGUACCAGUGCACACCAAGUGUUAACUAGGUGGAAAGGCAAGAUUAAACAAAUAAGUCUUAAGCCGUGAUUUAAACAGUGGCAUAGAGUCAGACACCCGGAUAGCGACAGGAAGGUUCCAUAAGACCGAGGCAGCUACAGCAAACGCGCGGUCACCGCGAGACUUCAGCCGAGAACGAGGUUGCUCCAGAAGAAUUUGGGUAGCACAUCUAAGUGCUCUGACAGGAGUGUGUAACCUGAGAAGCUCAUUGAGAUAGCUCGGCGCCAAGUUAUUAAUGGUUUUGUAGGUGAAAAGUAAUAUUUUAAAUUGAAUACGGUAUUUAAUUGGAAGCCAGUGCAAGCCAGCAAGAACAGGAGUGAUGGAAGAAAACUUCCUGCUUCCUGUCAAAAGGUGUGCCACCGCAUUCUGGACAGUCUGCAAUCUAACGAGAAGGGUGGAGGAAAGGCCAAUGUAAAGAGAGUUGCAGUAGUCCAACCUGGAAGUCACGAAUGCGUGAAUGAGUUUUUCCAGAUCAAUGUGCAGAAUAUAGCGCUUAUCCUUCGAAAUGAGGUGCAGCUGAUUAAAACUAGACCUCACAACAGCAGACACUUGCUUGUCAAAUUUAAGCGAGCUAUCCAGUAGUAUGCCCAAAUUACUGGCAUAGUCAGAGGGAGAGCUAGCAAAAGGCAUCAGAGCAGCACACAGUUGGUCGCGGGGGAUUUUACUAUCAAACACCACGAUCUCCGUUUUCUUUUCGUUCAGGACAAGAGAAUUACUCUUGAACCAACCUUUAACCUCACGCAAGCAUUCAUGAAAAUAGUGAAAAGACAUAGCAAGAUUGUCGGUAAUCUCAAAAUAAAUCUGUAUAUCAUCAGCAUAGCAAUGAAAGGCAAUAUUAUACUUCUCAAAAAUUGCUCCAAGAGGGAGCAGAUAUAGUGAAAAGAGAAUAGGGCCUAAUACAGAUCCUUGAGGCACACCACAGCGUACAGGUACCGAGGAAGAUGAGAAGUUGCCCAAAUUAACCGAAAAAGACCUGUCAGCAAGAUAAGAUUUAAACCAGUUGAGGGCAGUGCCUCUUAUACCCACAGUAUGCUCAAGUCUUAGUAGAAGAAUGUUAUGAUCAACCAUAUCAAAAGCAGAGGAAAGGUCCAAUAAAACCAAGACCACAGUGACCCAGAGUCAGUGCUUACAAAUAGGUCAUUGAGAACUCUAAGCAAGGCCGUUUCAGUGCUGUGCCGUGGCUUAAAGGCAGACUGAAAUUUCUCUGCAAAGCAAAAGGUGGCUACUUAGUGUAAUCUAAAAUAUAAAACAUAUUUAGAGUUCUUAUUCUCUCUUAUUCUUUGCCACAUAAUUCCAUAUCUCUUGCUUCAUAUAUUUGAUGUCUGUUUGUAUUAGAUAAGUAGUAAAGAUAAAGAAAAUAUAAUAAAUGAAAUUGUGUGUCAAACAUCUUGGUAGGACUGGCAGUUUUGUUUUUCAGUUGUUUUUAUAUAAUUCUGUUUCGUUUUGGGGUUUUUUACCGUACAAAUUUUCCUCCUGCUAUUCUCCAGUCACUCCAGUAGGUAACGCUAAAGUACCAUUGGUACUGUAAGCUGAUUGGCCAACAACCAUUCACAUCACAAAGAAGAAGACAAAUUAGACGAAGAAGAAAUGGAGUAGUUGGAGGAGCAGAUCUCAGUCGGAAUUUUCAGUUUGAUCACGUCCUCAGUCUGUAUUUCAAACUGGGAAAGUCAGAGCAGCUUCAUGAAGCUCAAGUUAACAAUCCAAGAUGGAGGCGGGAAAUGUACCUGUAAUAAAACUAAAUCUUUUGAAUCUGUUCCCCACUGUGGUGUAUUUUAGACUUGCUAAAUAAUCCGUGCACAGAGCACUGACCAAACUCUAAACGCAUCACAACACAUAAUGCGGAAGCGUUUUGAUCAAACCUUGUUUCCCGUUACCCCAACUGUGAUGGCUGCCAAAAUAUAUAUUGCGUUUUGGUGGACUUGUCUGGUUGCCUUCGUCUGUGCAGACCAGAAAAACAUCACAGCUGAGUCUGGACAGGACUUCACUCUGACAUGUCGAGCUCCAAACAACAAAACCAUCAGUGUUGUAAAAUGGAGCAGAGCUGACCUGAGAGAUGAAUAUGUGCUUUUGUACAAGGAUAAUAAGAAGGAUCCAGAAAACCAGCAUCCAUCUUUUAAGAACCGGGUGGAUCUGCAGGACAAACAGAUGAAGGAUGGAGACGUGUCUUUGAUUCUGAACAAUGUGACGAUUAAUGAUACUGGAACAUACGAGUGUGUUGUCAUUCCCAGAGGUGGAGGCAGUUCAAAGCCCAUCAGCAUCAUCCACCUUCAUGUUGUUCCUCCAGGUCAGACAGGAGGAGACACAGAGGAUGGAUCUGUUGGACUGAAAGUUGGUCUGUCAGUUUCUGCUGUUCUUCUUGUUGCUGCUGUUGGUGGAUUUUUGAUCUACAGAAAACAUGAAAAAACAAAGAGUCAGGAUCCGCACCAUCAACCUGCUGAAUUGUAGUCUGUUUGAAAUGUGAGUUUUUACAGCUGAACUCCUGGAGUCUGAGUCUCCUGCUGAGCCAGACUUCAUUUAGUGUUAUUAAACAUUCAGAAGAUGAUAUGAGGACAGACAUCAGUCAGCUCUCAGAGAUUUGAACUUCCUGUUUUUGUUUGUUUGCUUUGUGUGCAUCAGUAUUAGUUAUUAGUUUGUUUUAGCUUCCAGGUUAGUCGCUCAUCUCAGAGGAAGAGUUUAUGUUCUUAAACAGUGUUAUUUACACUUUUGCCUUAUUUAUAUGUGGAACAUUCAAGACUUCAUAAUUCAAACAAAGAAAAGUUACAAAUCUGAGAAUAAGAUCAGUGAUAUUCAACAACAAAAACCAUUUUAUGUGACAAACAUGUUUCUGUCUCUGAUGUCGACAGAAAUAAGUUUGUUCACAGUGAUGGAUUCAGCGUCGUCUCUGUCACAAUAUCAGAAUCAGUGAGUUUGUGUCAUCUUCAGGUUCAGCUGUUUGUGAGGUCAGACUCAGACUGAUCCUCGUGUUUAGAUGUUACACAAUAAUUACAGACACUGACUGACAACACAAACACAACACAAAGUGCUCAGGGUCCAUUUAUCAGCUAGAACUGAGUGACUGAAUAAUCUGAUAUUAUUAUGAAACCAAAGAGAAAUGUGUUACAUGGAGCUGCAGAGUCACAUGUUUCCUCUGAUCUAUGAAGCCUUAACUUGUUCCUCCAUGAAGGAGACUCUUCAGUUUAAACAUGUCAAGAUUAUUUAUUAUUUUAUUUUUAUACCAGUUUGUUUACUGAUAAAGUUUUACAUGUGUUACUCUUCAAUGUUUGUCUUUGCUUCCUGUGGCUGUAAACGUUUCCUGACCUGCUGUUUGAAUGUGUGCAGAUUUGAUCUCAUCUUGAAUGUAACAGUGUGAACAUUUAUACAUUUAACCUGAUAUUAUUACAACCUGUGAUCUGUGUUUGCUCAGUAGCCCCUCUCAGAGGUAGGAGAUAAAUAACAGAGCUGAAUAUCUGGCAGUUCAUGGGAUAUCAGUAUGAUGUGGGUUAUUGAGCACAACACACAGUUUUGUGUAUUAACAUCUUUGUGCCUGCUAUAUGAAACAAGCAUGUUAAAUUACUGCCUAUUUAAUGAGAAGAGCUACAAGUUGAUUUGUUCUUUUGAAUUUUGAAGUGACAUUCAUAUAGCUUCUGUGCUACUAAAACCUACUGUUCUUGUGUAAUGUGUCUGCCAGACCAGAACAUUCUGUUCAUAUCCACAUAAUAAACAUAAUCUCUAAAAUAUAAAUAAUUUGUUGUCUAUGAUUGUCUGCACACCACAGAGUUGAGGCAUUAACCAAACAUAGUUACAACAUCACCACUAAACUGAGGCCACUUCCACUGUGUGAAACAGAUGGAAACAGGCAUGAACGUAGACUCAAAAUGAACAGACAGUUUCGUAAAGAACUCAUGAAUACUGUUGAGAUGAAAUUAUUUGAAGUGCCUCAAUGUUAUGCUUUAUAUGAACUAAAAUGCCAUAUAACUACACAGUGUAGUAUUAAGUGGACACGGCCCUGAAAGUAAAGGGAUUAGACGUGGGGGUAGAAAGCUGUAGACUCUCGCUCACACUUACCUGAGAAAAAGUAGAUGAAGUCAAGGUUAUUGGAUUUACAGGACUCGAACAUGUAAUUUGAACAAAAUAAAUGUUUGUUUCUAAGGUGAAUGUAAUAAAAUCAUAUAAGAUCUACAUGCAAUUUACCAACUUAACACCUCUUAAAUGUAUUCUUGUUGAUAUGACAUGAUAAAAUCUAAUAAGAGUGGUUAGCUGCCUUAAAGACUCACGAUAUCACAAGUUCACACGUGAUUUUGAACCACAGGAGGCAGGAAAGCUCAUGAUUUGCUUCACGUUCAUCUUGGAAAAGUAAGAGUCAAUCUGUGUUCAUCCAUCUUGAUGAAAAUACUUUUUGAGCAAAGGUAUCAUCAGUUUGUCGAUUCUUUUCAGUACUAUUUAUUCACAUUUUUGUUUAGUUUUUUAAAUCUGGCUGUUUAUACCACUCUAGCUAGCUAACACAUUAGUGUAACAAUAUAGCAGAAUUUCAUGCUAGCACAAGCAUGAUAGCCUAAUAUGAAAGAAUUAGCUAUUCAAAAUGUAGAUACUGUUUAUAACUCAAACUCUGCACACAAGCUAGUUUGGCUUUACCACAGAAACUGUUGUGUUGUGUGUGGAUUGUUGAAAUUUGUAAGUUUGUAAGUUGCAACUGUUGCAUAGUAUUUUAUUUAACAAUUGAUGUGUUCUUAGUACAA